rnacentral:rRNA from 1 species
GACAUAGGUGGCAAACGUUAUCCGGAAUUAUUGGGCGUAAAGGAUGCGUAGAUGGUCUAGUAAGUUAUCAGUGGUAAAUCGGGGCCCAACCUCGUGGAAGUUGGUAAUACUGUUAGACUUGAGUAUCGGAGAGGUUAACGGAACUCCCUGUGGAGCGGUGAAAUGUGUAGAUAUCGGGAGGAACACCGGUGGCGAAGGCGGUUCUCUGGGCCUUACCUGACGCUGAGGAGCGAAAGCGUGGGGAGCGAACAGG